CAGCCGCCGCGGUAAUACGUAGGGGGCAAGCGUUGUCCGGAUUCAUUGGGCGUAAAGAGCUCGUAGGCGGUUCAGUAAGUCGGGUGUGAAAGCUCCAAGCUCAACUUGGAGACGCCAUCCGAUACUGCUGUGACUUGAGUACAGUAGGGGAGCGUGGAAUUCCUGGUGUAGCGGUGAAAUGCGCAGAUAUCAGGAGGAACACCAGCGGCGAAGGCGGCGCUCUGGGCUGUAACUGACGCUGAGGAGCGAAAGUGUGGGUAGCAAACAGGAUUAGAUACCCUGGUAGUCCACACCGUAAACGUUGGGCACUAGGUGUGGGGAGGAAUCAACCCUCUCCGUGCCGUAGCUAACGCAUUAAGUGCCCCGCCUGGGGAGUACGGUCGCAAGACUAAAACUCAAAGGAAUUGACGGGGGCCCGCACAAGCGGCGGAGCAUGUUGCUUAAUUCGAGGCAACGCGAAGAACCUUACCUAGGUUGAACUACGCAGGAAAAGCCACAGAGAUGUGGUGUCCUUCGGGGCCUGCGAUAGGUGGUGCAUGGCC
rnacentral:rRNA from 1 species